UCCUAGACCCAUUUAAGAGCUGACUGCCAGUGGGGAAGGAUCUCUCUGGAGAUCUGCUCCAUCGGAGUUCAUCUUGUGGGCUCAAGACAGGAAACUUGGAUCUGCUCCACCUGCUUACAUUUGCUGAUAGAAGCCAGAAGAAUUUUCACUUCAUCUGUUUCACAGAUGCUCAGACUCUUUUCUCAAGACAUGUCACACAAGAAAGUCUCCAAAAUAAUUAGCAGGACUUCAGUCAGCUUGACUGUGAUAGCUACAUGUAAGGCUAUAGUGCAAUAGAAUGUGCAAUUACUCCCAAGACCAACAAAAACAGAGGUGGCACACAAAGGACAUUCCCUUCUUUGAUUACGUGAUUGCUUUUUUAUUGCAACAUUAAUCUACAUUCCUGCAGCCUGUGCAUCUACAAACAAGGUCAGCAGUUCCUCAUCAAGGGAGGAACCGCCCUGUAAUCCAAUUUCAGCCUCCUUGUUUGCCAAUGUCAUUUGAUUCAGUGGGAAGCUUUGAGCGUAUAGGAUCAGCCCCAAAAUGAAACUGGGUGGCUUUGGACAUAGCACAGCUGUAAAGAGAGGUUAUAAAUUCUUGAGAAAGGUCAAGUUGGCCCAAAUGAGUGUGAGCAGUGGGUGGGUACCCAGCACCAAAUACAAAUUUUGCAGUAUUCUAAUGGACAUCAAGUACAAAAUAAGCACAGCUUCAGGGAAAGAGCCACACAGAAUAUUACCACAGAACUAGCACACAUGCCUUUGUUGGAAAAAGUGCUGCCUAGAAAGGUCUGCCAACACCACUUCCAGCCCAUUCCACGCUGCUGAGCAAGGAGGCACCCACUGCAAUGAUACAAGGGAGCAACAGCCGCUGAACCGGUUCUGUUAAAGAAUGGCUUCACAUGCUAUGAAGGAGGGCAAAAGCCAGCUCACAGCAUGCCCUGACCACCAUGGAGAAGCACCAGCUUCCCUGUGCUCACCAGCCACCACAGCAGCAUCACACAGAUCGCAGCUCCUUCCUCCCACUGGAGCAGUCAAACCACCACGGAAACGUUUCCCAAGGACACGCAAGAACAAAACAAUCCACAGUGACUGCAGCAUCUGCUCGGCAUAACCGCUUUUCCCCAGGCUGGAAAGCUGAUCUGACCUCUGCAAAAAAGGCUGCUGGCCGGGAAUGGCAGCUGAACAGCAGGGAACAACAGAGCCGUUUUAGAAAGUGGUUUGAGAUCUUUCUGGGUGAGAAAUCCUACAGAAAUACAAAUAAUACAUAAUAAAGAGCUCUGAGCAUUCACCAGCACACAGUGACUGGUCUCCUUGUUACUGCACAAGUGAGGGUGAAAUUCGAGGAUAGCUGGUGCUCAUUCUCAACCAAGUCACAGUAUUUUCAUGUUCUGUAUACCUGCAUUUCACACUCUGCUCUUUGAACAUCAGCUGCUAUUGCUUCCACACCUAAUUGAUAUAUAAACUGUUAAGUGUCUUGUUUUGCAUUAUGAGAUUUAAUUUACCCUACUUCUGCUGAUAAAUAUAAUUUGCUAACAAAAUUAAGGGCUGAUGAUUUCCAAUUCAAGCUUUUGUUAAAAUCAGCUAGCACCACCAGGAAGUGCUCAGCUCCAGCCAAAGGGAUUUCUGUUUGUGUUAUCAACACUUUUCCCAGGCUAAACAUUAUGCACUGUUACUCAUUUUCUUUACUGGAACUCACUGCAUCUGCUGCAGGGACAAAACUAAAGGCGUAAAAUUAAAUGCAAUGUAUGCAGUAGUUGUGCAAGCAAUACACUACACGCACCAAAAGGAGGGGUAAAGCAUAGAUUCUAAUGGAUUCUGUAACUUUAUUUCCCUGCAUUUUCAACCUGUUUUUUUUUAUUGGUUAGUCUGUUUGAAUGAAUGCGCUCUCACUGUGGUGUAACAUACCUGUUUCUAUUUCUUCACGCAGACCAAAGCAGUGCUGCAAAUAGGUCACUCUGUGUGCAAAACCAAGGACCCUCAGCCUUGCUCUGCGAAGGGGCUGACAAGGACACACAUCCCAGCACACUAACAGUAAGGUCCAUGGCAACUGGAAGCUUUCUUCCUCUGCCCGAGGCAUAGGGGACAAAACCCUCUUGUCCUCCCAGGAGCACAUGUACACAACCAUGUUCAUCAAACUCCACAAAACCCGACUCACUCCCCAACUUCCCUCACAAUUCACCCAGGAAAAGCCUUGAGUUCCCUCCUAGAAGGGGAUACAGACAUCCACAACAUCUCCAAUCCUGCACUGCCC